rnacentral:tmRNA from 1 species
GGGGGUGACUUGGUUUCGACGGGAUUAGGUAGCUGUUGGUUGCAUGCCGGACUGGGCAACUCCGUUAUACGGCCCAAAUGCGAAUAAACGCAAACAAUACAAAUUAUCGUCCUGCUUACGCUGUAGCGUAAGUUUAACUUAACUUAGGACUGCUCUCGCGCUUGAGGCUACAUACACAGCGAUUUUGAGAGUAUAACCCUUUUUGUAGCUAUAUCACAGAUGUGUCUCCAUCUGUGAUGAACCCUUAGAGACUCGCUUGGUGUAGCUUUGCAGGUUGAGCGAAGCCAAGUUAAACACAAUCAACCUCUCUAAGCAUGUAGACGCCAACAGUAGCCUAGUUUCGGACUGGAGUUCGAUUCUCCACACCUCCACCA